GACGAACGCUGGCGGCGUGCUUAACACAUGCAAGUCGAACGGAAAGGCCCUGCUCUUGUGGGGUGCUCGAGUGGCGAACGGGUGAGUAACACGUGAGUAACCUGCCCUUGACUUUGGGAUAACUUCAGGAAACUGGGGUUAAUACAGGAUAGGAGAUCCUGCUGCAUGGUGGGGGUUGGAAAGUUUCGGCGGUUGGGGCUGGACUCGCGGCUUAUCCGCUUGUUGGUGGGGUAGUGGCUUACCAAGGUUUUGACGGAUAGCCGGCCUGGGCGGGUGACCGGCGACAUUGGGACUGAGAUACGGCCCAGACGCCUACGGGAGGCAGCAGUGGGGAAUAUGGCGCAAUGAGCGGAAGCCUGAUGCAACAGCGCCGCGUGCGGGAUGACGGCCUUCGGGUUAUAAACCGCUUUCGCCUGUGACGAAGCGGGAUUGACGGUAAUGGGUAAAGAAGCACCGGCUAACUACGUG
rnacentral:rRNA from 1 species